GGGGAUAUAGCUCAGUUGGGAGAGCGCUUGCAUGGCAUGCAAGAGGUCAGCGGUUCAAUCCCGCUUAUCUCCACCA
rnacentral:tRNA from 1 species